UCUUAUAAAUUAAGACUGGAAUGAAUGGAUAUAUGGGGCAAUACUUUCUUAAAUCAAUAGAUAAAAAUAAAUUUUUUAGUGAAGAAGCUAAAAUUUUUUUGAGGGACGAGAAGACCCUAUUAAGCUUUAUAUAAUUAUUUUGUUGGGGAAACAAAAGGAUAAAAUUCCUUUGAAAAAUUUUUUUGAUAAAAAUUGAUUUAUUUAUUAAUGAUAAUAGAAUAAGUUACUAUAGGGAUAACAGCAUAAUUUUUUUUAAAAGUUCAUAUUGACAAAAAAGAUUAUGACCUCGAUGUUGGAUUAAAAUUAUUAUAUGAUGCAGUUGUUGUAUAAAUUAGUCUGUUCGACUAUUAAAAUUUUA
rnacentral:rRNA from 4 species